GUGAAUCAUCGAAUCUUUGAACGCACCUUGCGCUCCUUGGUAUUCCGAGGAGCAUGCCUGUUUGAGUGUCUUGAAAUCAUCAAACCCUCUGUCUGAGUAUGGGGGGUUUGGAUCUGGGGGUGUGCUGCUGCAAAGCGGCUCCCUUCAAAUGCAUCGGUUGGACCUGUGGGUCGAACUCGACUGGGCGUUGUAACAUCCUCGCUCUACCGAGAGGUUCCCCUUUGGUGUCCUCCCACGACUGCCUGUGGAGUGGCGGUCAACUUGCUUUGAAAUCUGACCUCAAAUCAGGUAGGACUACCCGCUGAACUUAAGCAUAUCAAUAAGCGGAGGA
rnacentral:misc_RNA from 1 species